UACGGGGGGAGCAAGCGUUGUUCGGAUUUACUGGGCGUAAAGGGCGCGUAGGCGGCCAGCGCAAGUCAGUUGUGAAAUCUCCGGGCUUAACUCGGAAAGGUCAACUGAUACUGCGCGGCUAGAGUGCAGAAGGGGCAACUGGAAUUCUCGGUGUAGCGGUGAAAUGCGUAGAUAUCGAGAGGAACACCUGCGGCGAAGGCGGGUUGCUGGGCUGACACUGACGCUGAUGCGCGAAGGCCAGGGGAGCGAACGGG
rnacentral:rRNA from 1 species